rnacentral:sRNA from 1 species
UCAACAACGAUUCAACCAUGUGAAUACACAUUCGAACGAAUACAUUAUUCAAAUAUUUGAAAAUCUUGGUUCUACUUUUGAUAAGACCUUAUCCAGCAAAUUUCGCAAUCCGAAAGAUCGUUUUUACUGGUUC